rnacentral:misc_RNA from 1 species
GUUAAGAAAAAUGUCUUUAAUUGUGUUGAUAUCCUGAAUUUGAUGUACUGCCAUCAGUUUUAUUUGCUUUUCAUGGAGUUUACUGUGAAAUUUGUUUAUUUGGAAUCAACUUUUACUCGAUCUAAUUCGCUUGCAAGUUGCAACUGUUGGGAAGGACAUAUAAUUAUGUAUUCUAUUUUGACAAAAUGCUUGAACACAAGAA